rnacentral:snRNA from 1 species
GUCAGUUAAUAUCUGAUAUUUCCUCCAGUGGAGGACAACAUAUUAAGCCGAUUUUUGAAGAACGGAUGUGAAGGUGGAGCUUGCUCUAUUCACUACAUGCAUUGACCCAGUAUUGCAGUGUUUCUGGGAACAGUGCCCACAUC